rnacentral:rRNA from 1 species
GUGAGGAAUAUUGGUCAAUGGGCGAGAGCCUGAACCAGCCAAGUAGCGUGCAGGAUGACGGCCCUACGGGUUGUAAACUGCUUUUAUGCGGGGAUAAAGUGAGGGACUUGUCCCUUUUUGCAGGUACCGCAUGAAUAAGGACCGGCUAAUUCCGUGCCAGCAGCCGCGGUAAUACGGAAGGUCCAGGCGUUAUCCGGAUUUAUUGGGUUUAAAGGGAGCGCAGGCCGGUGUGUAAGCGUGACGUCAAAUACAGCCGCUCAACGGUUGUCCGCGUCGCGAACUGCACGCCUUGAGUACGCUGCAAGUGGGCGGAAUUCGUGGUGUAGCGGUGAAAUGCUUAGAUAUCACGAAGAACUCCGAUUGCGAAGGCAGCCCGCUGUCGCGUGACUGACGCUGAGGCUCGAAGGUGCGGGUAUCGAACAGG